UCUAAUCUUCUUCGCUAUAGUCAGGAACUCCUCAGCAUACAUCCCUUCUACACCCCCUCUUACCCUUGGCCUCUCCUUGGCUAGAACCCCCAUCUAGUUUUACUGAUGGUAACACAGAAGGAGAACAAAAAAAUGUCUCUGGGUGGUGGAUUAGAACCACUCUUACUUCUUAAGCUUCAUGUUCUUCUGCAGAAAAACAGGGUCAUAGGGCAGCAAUAUGAGAGACACAGGUUGAGAAAUGUGCACACGUGUUUGACCACCUUUGAUCUCACUGAGUCAGCAGUCCAGAGGACACAGCACGUGGCACCAGCAGCCACAUUCUUGUCCACUGCUACUGAAGGGAGUGCCCCCUGGGGUGGAACUGUGAUUUGGAUGUGGCUAGAGGAGAGUGACAUGACUGAGCAACUUCCCUUUCACUUUUCACUUUCAUGCAUUGGAGAAGGAAAUGGCAGCCCACUCCAGUGUUCUUGCCUGGAGAAUCCCAGGGAUGGGGGAGCCUGGUGGGCUUGCGUCUAUGGGGUUGCACAGAGUUGGACAUGACUGAAGCGACUUAGCAGCAGCAGCAGAGGAGAGUGAGAGGAUGCCUCUUCCAGUUUCCGACUGCACUCUCCGUUGUGCGAGUGGAGGAGACUUCCCGGGAAAGAACUCAAACCAGAUCCACAAUUCACGUGCAGAGCAUUUGAGAAGCUCACACUGAGAGGAGACCUGCGAAAAAAAUGCAGCAUAAGCAUCGGCCUGAGCAGCAGAGUGGUCAACAGUGGUCCAGCGAAGUGGUAUCAGUGUUAAGGGAACCACUGGAGCAGAGAUCCACACAGAAAGUAAGCGGUGGUCAGUGUGGAAUGAGGUCUGAAAUACAGGUGCAGUUAAUAAAGCCAGCCUCAAAUAUGCCAACAAUGACCACCCCUGAAGCAGGGAGCACACUACGAUGAAAGCAACCUGGGUCCCAGGUUGAGCAAGGAGAGAACAGCUACUUCUUCA